UAUAAUACCUUUCAGACCUCCUAUACCUGAUGAGCAACGACAAUCACCACCUUCAGUUCUUCUGAGAGUUGCUUCUCCAAGGGCUCCUUCUCCAAGGGCAGCUUCUCCAAGGGUUGGUUCUCCAAGAGCCCCUUCUCCAAGGCCUCCUUCUCCAAGACCGCCCUCUCCAAAACCGCUCUCUCCAAGAGCUCCGUCUCCUAAGAUCGUUCAUCACCAUAAGGAGAUCAGCUACAGGCCGGAACCAACUCUAAGGAACCACCAUGCUUCUGCUACUAAAAUCCAGGCAGCCUAUAGAGGUUAUACGGUAAG
rnacentral:lncRNA from 1 species